GAUGAACGCUGGCGGCGUGCCUAAUACAUGCAAGUCGAGCGAACAGACGAGGAGCUUGCUCCUCUGACGUUAGCGGCGGACGGGUGAGUAACACGUGGAUAACCUACCUAUAAGACUGGGAUAACUUCGGGAAACCGGAGCUAAUACCGGGUAAUAUAUUGAACCGCAUGGUUCAAUAGUGAAAGACGGUUUUGCUGUCACUUAUAGAUGGAUCCGCGCCGCAUUAGCUAGUUGGUAAGGUAACGGCUUACCAAGGCAACGAUGCGUAGCCGACCUGAGAGGGGGAUCGGCCACACUGGAACUGAGACAAGGUCCAGACUCCUACGGGAGGCAGCAGUAGGGAAUCUUCCGCAAUGGGCGAAAGCUUGACGGAGCAACGCCGCGUGAGUGAUGAAGGUCUUCGGAUCGUAAAACUCUGUUAUUAGGGAAGAACAAAUGUGUAAGUAACUAUGCACGUCUUGACGGUACCUAAUCAGAAAGCCACGGCUAACUACGUG
rnacentral:rRNA from 1 species